rnacentral:rRNA from 1 species
GAUGAACGCUGGCGGCGUGCCUAAUACAUGCAAGUCGAGCGAACAGACGAGGAGCUUGCUCCUCUGACGUUAGCGGCGGACGGGUGAGUAACACGUGGAUAACCUACCUAUAAGACUGGGAUAACUUCGGGAAACCGGAGCUAAUACCGGAUAAUAUAUUGAACCGCAUGGUUCAAUAGUGAAAGACGGUUUUGCUGUCACUUAUAGAUGGAUCCGCGCCGCAUUAGCUAGUUGGUAAGGUAACGGCUUACCAAGGCAACGAUGCGUAGCCGACCUGAGAGGGUGAUAGGCCACACUGGAACUGAGACACGGUCCAGACUCCUACGGGAGGCAGCAGUAGGGAAUCGUACGCAAUGGGCGAAAGCCUGACGGAGCAACGCCGCGUGAGUGAUGAAGGUCUUCGGAUCGUAAAACUCUGUUAUUAGGGAAGAACAAAUGUGUAAGUAACUAUGCACGUCUUGACGGUACCUAAUCAGAAAGCCACGGCUAACUACGUG